CGCUAACACUCCUACGGGAGGCAGCAGUGGGGGAAUAUUGCACAAUGGGCGCAAGCCUGAUGCAGCCAUGCCGCGUGUAUGAAGAAGGCCUUCGGGUUGUAAAGUACUUUCAGCAGUGAGGAAGGUUCAUGCGUUAAUAGCGUAUGGAUUUGACGUUAGCUGCAGAAGAAGCACCGGCUAACUCCGUGCCAGCAGCCGCGGUAAUACGGAGGGUGCGAGCGUUAAUCGGAAUUACUGGGCGUAAAGCGCAUGCAGGUGGUUUGUUAAGUCAGAUGUAGAAAGGCCCGGGGCUCAACCUCGGAAUUGCAUUUGAAACUGGCAGACUAGAGUACUGUAGAGGGGGUAGAAUUUCAGGUGUAGCGGUGAAAUGCGUAGAGAUCUGAAGGAAUACCGGUGGCGAAGGCGGCCCCCUGGACAGAUACUGACACUCAGAUGCGAAAGCGUGGGGAGCAAACAGGAUUAGAUACCCUGGUAG
rnacentral:rRNA from 1 species